rnacentral:rRNA from 1 species
CCUACGGGGUGCAGCAGUCGAGAAUCAUUCACAAUGGGGGAAACCCUGAUGGUGCGACGCCGCGUGGGGGAAUGAAGGUCUUCGGAUUGUAAACCCCUGUCAUGUGGGAGCAAAUUAAAAAGAUAGUACCACAAGAGGAAGAGACGGCUAACUCUGUGCCAGCAGCCGCGGUAAUACAGAGGUCUCAAGCGUUGUUCGGAAUCACUGGGCGUAAAGCGUGCGUAGGCUGUUUCGUAAGUCGUGUGUGAAAGGCGCGGGCUCAACCCGCGGACGGCACAUGAUACUGGGAGACUAGAGUAAGGGAGGGGGAACCGGAAUUCUCGGUGUAGCAGUGAAAUGCGUAGAUAUCGAGAGGAACACUCGUGGCGAAGGCGGGUUCCUGGACAUUAACUGACGCUGAGGCACGAAGGCCAGGGGAGCGAAAGGGAUUAGAUACCCUUGUAGUC